CUUAAAAUAGCAGGAAGCCUGUGCAACUUAAAAGGACAACAUACCUUUGUCAUCAUUUUUUGUUAGUGCCACUGGAGAAGAAGAUUAGGGGAAAUUGCUAGAAAGACAAUUUGGGGAUUUGAGCUGGUAGUCCCAUUACUCCUUUAAAUACCAACCACCAUUCUAGAGAUAUAACAAGGCAGCAUUUAUUUUUGAAACGUCUUUAUUUUAUCUUUAAUACUGUAUAAUUUUAUACAGUACUUUGAUAAUAGCUGCUUUCUUUUUAAAAAACCCUUAACCAGUCUGAGUUGGUUUUUAUUUCUACAUCAUAUACUAAUGUGAAAGGAAUAAAGUAUAUUUAUUAUUACACAGAUUCGCUGGUGACAGUGAGGCAGAUUGAAGACUUUAAAGGUAUUAAACAGAUGCUAAUGAACACAAACCCUAUCUUCUGGAUAAUGGACCUUCAUUUAUUGGAUUAAAAAAGACAAAUAUCAGUCCGUUGUAAAAACAAAUGUUUCGUCGUCUAUGGUCAAUGCAAACCGCCCAGAGACAAACGUUUGGGGAGGUGUACACAUUUGACUGACAAACAAAUAAAUAUACAUCAGCCUCAGUGUUCUUCCUUCUUCCGUGGAUCACAAUCUUAUAAUAUUCUCCUAUAAUUACACACACAACCA